UUUGAUUUGAGGGUAGAAAGAAAACCGUGUAAUUUGCAAAUUGAUUAUGCUUAUACAGAAUAAGAACUAGACACGUUAUCAACAGAUAAUCCAUUAAUUAGACCCAAAUCACAAACUCUAUAAAUAAGGAGAGAGAGAGGCUCAACUGCAUUGUUGAAUAAGAAUGGAGAUAAAGGAUCUCCAUCUCCUUGCUUUAAUCCAUCAUGCAUUUUGAACUGUUCAUUUGAGGGAAUCCCAUUAGUUAGCACAAACACCUUGGCCGAAGAGAUGCAGGAGUUUACUUGGGUGUUUUGUCAUCUUUGGAGUUGAGGAAGGAAGAAGAUGGUGGUGCUUUUCAAGAUGAGAAGAAGAUCACUAAUAAGAUGCCAUCUUUCAUCCAUGUUUAAGGGGAUUAUUACUCCUUGGUAUAGUGAAUUAGGCUUGGAACUGUGGCCUAAAGAUCCAUAACUUGGAUGCUGAAUUUGAGUUUUUGAUGAGGAAAUCCAACCUCUUGGCAAGUCUGAUACUUGGCUUUGAAACUCUCUUUUCUUUCUUCCUUCUUUUUUUCUUGUUUGGUUGCCAGGAAAAACUGGAAUGAAACUAAAACUAUAUUUAUAUAUUUCAUGUUACGAGAUUUCAUGAUUUUAUUUCUUUUUCUUUGUCU
rnacentral:misc_RNA from 1 species